rnacentral:rRNA from 1 species
AGUGGCGAACGGGUGAGUAACACGUAUCUAAUCUACCCAUUAGCGGGGAAUAACAGUUGGGAACGACUGCUAAUACCCCAUAUGACAUUUCAUGGCAUCAUAUUAUGUUGAAAGAUCCAUUUUUUGGAUCACUAAUGGACGAGGAUGCGGCGUAUUAGUUAGUUGGUGGGGUUAUUGCCUACCAAGACAAUGAUACGUAGCCGAACUGAGAGGUUGGCCGGCCACAUCGGGACUGAGACACGGCCCGAACUCCUACGGGAGGCAGCAGUAGGGAAUUUUUCACAAUGGGCGAAAGCCUGAUGGAGCAAUGCCGCGUGACUGAAGAAGGUCUUAGGAUUGUAAAGGUCUGUUGUAAAGGAAGAAUAGUAAAUAUAGGAAAUGAUAUUUAUUUGACUGUACUUUACCAGAAAGCCACGGCUAACUAUGUGCCAGCAGCCGCGGUAAUACAUAGGUGGCAAGCGUUAUCCGGAUUUAUUGGGCGUAAAGCGCGCGCAGACGGUUUAGCAAGUUUGAGGUUAAAUUCUGGAGCUUAACUCCAGUUCGCCUUGAAAACUGUUAAGCUAGAGUGUAGGAUAGGUCGAUGGAAUUCCAUGUGUAGCGGUGAAAUGCGUAGAUAUAUGGAGGAACACCAGUG